rnacentral:lncRNA from 1 species
GAGGUCUUCUCUCCCACCCUUUCCAUCAUAAAAGUACUUACAACUUAUCGUGUGGAAGCUGCUCAGUGAUGAGACUGGGAAAGAUGAAUAUGCGUACGCUCUUUCACUCACAGCAAAAUCACUAGAAGGGAUGUGGCCAGCGUGGAGGCUUGACCUCAUCUCCUGCACUCAGCUUAACUCUGCCAUACUGUUCUCCCACACCCUCGCCCAGCUUUCUGCUGCAUCAGCUGCCCAAGCCUGCACCCUGGGCAACAUCUGAACAGGGUCAAGCCAAGAGUUGGCAACCACAGGUGCCCUUACGGAUUCCUCCAGUGUCAGGACCUGAAUCCUUUCAGCAUGUCCAACGAGACUGCAAGGGUGACACUAAAGGGAAAAGAUUUUCCCAGGUUAUAUAAAUAAAUGAAAGGGAAACGCUGGGUCAACUCUCAAGAUGGCUAUGCCUUCAGGGUUCCCCAGCCAGAGGCGGCUGAGGAAGGUGAGCAGAUAGGAACAUAAUACUCAUCUAUAAGCGUGGGUUCAAACUCAUCCUAGUUUCAACUUUUUGUUGUUCUUAGGUAGAUCCAAUUCCUUAGCUGAGUCCCUGACAGCACCACAGCUCUGAGUGGGUAAUUUCCUUUGGUGGAAAGACACACAUCAGAGACUGGAGGAGGUCCGGGGACAUUUCAUUUGAGGGGAGGCGGCUGCAGGUUCA